rnacentral:lncRNA from 1 species
AGAAGACCCGAGGCCUCUGCUACGAACACUGGCAGCCGAUGGAAAAUUCAGACGGAUUUGGGACAGUAUGCAGAGUUCUCCAAGCGACAGAUUAACAGAGGCUCUUGAAGAAUAACUGCGUAAUCACGUGUUCUGCUCAAAAGAAGGCCUGAAUGCCCAGUGCCUUAUUUGGCUUUCAGGGUUGGUGAAAGAAAAAGCAAAGUAGAUGCUUUCUAAUGCUAAGUCAUUUAAUGUAGCACCAUUCCUUGAACUUCUUUCAUCUCUAAGGUCGUCCCUUUCACCUGAUGAUGACCUUUGGGCCAUCGUACAGGCAUGUGUAAACUUGGAGAUCUUCCUCAACAUUGCACCAUAUCUUGGGUUCAUUCAAGGCAGAGUCUCCUUGCAAAAGCAUUCUAAAACAAUGUAAAGUCGAAGAGAGUAGAGCAAUACCUCCAUAGUUGGAAAAUGUGGAGGAGGCCAAUUAAGGGACAGAAAAAGAAGUGCAGAGAAUCUUGGAAUUGUUGCAAAAUUAUUCUGGAGAUAUUUCUAAGUCUCCUCUAUCCUUUUCCUUAGUGAUUAAUACAGGUUUUUAUAUUAAGUGGACAGUAAAAUCCAAACAGAAAGAGACAGGGUCUUGCGGUGUCACCCAGGCUAGAGUACAGUGGUGCAAUCAUAGCUCACUGCUGCCUCAAACUCCUAGACUCAAGCAAUCCUCCUGCUUCAGCCUCCCGAGUAGCUGGGACUACAGGUAGAUGAUGGGCUCCACGGGAACAGAGCAAACGUUCGCUCCUGCUCCUACACGGUGUUUCCUCUAAACCUGAGGCUCAGCCGACUUGUCAUCACUUAAAACCCAAUUCAGAGCGGGGGGGCACUGCCAGUGAAUAGUUCAUCACCGACUCAGUUUCCCCAUGUGUAUGCUGUGGUAUUGGAUCAGCAACGAGAUAAGAAGAUCUCUCCCAUUUCCAAGCGUCUAUGAUGAUUCUGAGGCACAAGGUCACAUUUGACAGUACUAGGAAACCCAGGAAACAAGAAGCAAAGAUGACAAAGGCUGUGUCUGCCUGGGCAGACGAUCUAUUUGGACAAGAUAAUAGACCCAGGCAUGGACAUGCUCUCCAAGAAAGAUGCCCUGACAGCUGCUCACACUGAAGCUGAAUCGAACAUUCCAAUCCUUAGAGGUUCCAGCGAAGAUCUUGAAGUCUCCCUGAGCCAUUGACACAAUGGCCAUGCCAUCCCAGUGAUAAAACACAAAUUGUGGCCUUGUUUUGGACAGAAAUAAAGAGCCCAGUUUGUUAGUGAUUUACUGAUAAUAACUGAAUCGAGUACUAAUACUUGGCGAUUUUAAAAGCCAUCAUGUUAAAAAGACCACCUGAUUCCCAGUGACCCUGCAGUGACUGGGUUUGGGCAGCUCGUCCCCUGCACCUGUUUGGGGCUGUGCCAGCCACUUCCAGUGAGAACAUCGCAUUAACUUGCGGUCGCAGACCUGGCUGGACCCCUUGAACCAAAUUCCUUUCUGACCUUAUCAGACCCCAAAUAAAAGAGCUCACCAGGCCCCUCAGCCUACGUGACCCACCUGCCCAGUGAAAAAAGUAGGGCCCUGUUCUGUUCUCUGAGGAUGGUCAGUGUGCUCUUUGAUGAAAACGGUUUCUAAGCUGAGGCCUGAGACCUAGAUCAUUGUUCUCACAGCGUGUGCUUGACCAGCCACACCAGAAGCACCCAGGCUGCUGGCUAAAAACACUGAUGCUGGGGCCCACCCUAGCCCCUGGGUAGGGGGUAGAGACCUAAGGUUUGGCAUUUUUACAAGCUCCUAGGGUGAUUCUUAGAUGCCCUGAUGAUUGAGAACCACUGCUCGAGCUUCUUAAAUGGCUGCUGAAGAAUGAU